rnacentral:rRNA from 1 species
UCACGAAAAGUGGAUUGUACUAGAAGUCUGCAGGCUGACCCGCAAGGGAGGCAGCGGCCCAAGGUAUGAUCCAUGAUUGGGGUG